rnacentral:rRNA from 1 species
GACGAACGCUGGCGGCGUGCUUAACACAUGCAAGUCGAACGGUGAAGCCCUUCGGGGUGGAUCAGUGGCGAACGGGUGAGUAACACGUGAGCAACCUGCCCUGACUCUGGGAUAACUACCGGAAACGGUGGCUAAUACCGGAUAUGACGCGCUGCCGCAUGGUGGUGUGUGGAAAGUUUUCGGUUGGGAUGGGCUCGCGGCCUAUCAGCUUGUUGGUGGGUGAUGGCCUACCAAGGCGACGACGGGUAGCCGGCCUGAGAGGGCGACCGGCCACACUGGGACUGAGACACGGCCCAGACUCCUACGGGAGGCAGCAGUGGGGAAUAUUGCGCAAUGGGCGAAAGCCUGACGCAGCGACGCCGCGUGAGGGAUGAAGGCCUCGGUU